rnacentral:rRNA from 1 species
AUUGAACGCUAGCGGGAUGCUUUACACAUGCCAGUCGAACGGCAGCGCGGACUUCGGUCUGGCGGCGAGUGGCGAACGGGUGAGUAAUGUAUCGGAACGUGCCCAGUAGCGGGGGAUAACUACGCGAAAGCGUAGCUAAUACCGCAUACGCCCUACGGGGGAAAGCAGGGGAUCGUAAGACCUUGCACUAUUGGAGCGGCCGAUAUCGGAUUAGCUAGUUGGUGAGGUAACGGCUCACCAAGGCGACGAUCCGUAGCUGGUUUGAGAGGACGACCAGCCACACUGGGACUGAGACACGGCCCAGACUCCUACGGGAGGCAGCAGUGGGGAAUUUUGGACAAUGGGGGCAACCCUGAUCAAGCCAUCCCGCGUGUGCGAUGAAGGCCUUCGGGUUGUAAAGCACUUUUGGCAGGAAAGAAACGUCGCGGGCUAAUACCCCGUGGAACUGACGGUACCUGCAGAAUAAGCACCGGCUAACUACGUG